GCCUCUCGGAAGCCCUCGGGUGAGCUGUGCCGUGCAGAGGCACGCUGUGUAACACCCAUCUGCUAAGAGCUGAGGCGCUGACUGCAAUGGAGUCCUGCCAGACUUCUUGGCUCUGAGCGAGUUCCAAACACUGCAAUAGCUUCUAUAGGAGAGACUGCUAUGCAGCUUUUCAAACUCAGAGGUAGCAGCAGAGACAACAAAGGAGAUGUCCUGGUACUGAGGACCUGAGGAGACCCCUUUGGCUAUACCUGAUUUGCAUUUGGGCAGACACUUCUACCUGAAUUCAGAGUCUGUGACCACAGAGGGCAGGAUGGAUGGAGGAGGAACAAAACAAGAUCUCCAGAGGCUGACAGACAAAGGGCUUUCUGGAGAGUGAACAAUGCAGGCAGUGUUACUCGCAAAUGGGAUCUUUCAACACCCUUGGAAACAAGAAAACUUAAAAAAUUAAACAUUCUACAGUGGGUUCCUAGUGGCUUACACUCAGUGCCAGCUACAGCCAAACAAGCCUGCCUGUAUAAGCUUGUUAAUGGGGAGAAAUACAUCUGAUCUGUAUGGCAUUUGAAGAUGAUUAAUGAGAGGGCUUCUGACAGGAUAAACUUUCUUUCCUUUUAUGUGUCCUUGGCUUCAGGCAGCACCUGCUCACUUGCAGCGACGCGCUAUCUGGAGAUCUGUCACUGGAGCUGGCCGUCUGCGUCAGCAGGGCUCAAAGGGCUCCUGCAUCAGGCACAAGCGUGCAUUACUGUCAGGAAUGUAAUGCAAACAGAAAAAAAUUAGGGGUGCCAGGGCUUAGGGCAAAAGUUGCAUGAGACAUGCACCCUGGCUCCUUGUGACCACAUGGAAUAUCAUAAGAAAUGUGAAAUGUCCAAUCUCAGCCCUGCUCCUGGCUGUUUGCACUCAACCCACUCACCUCACCUGACCACUGCAGCAAGACUGCUGACUCCUUGGGGCUGGAGAUCAACUGAUCUAUCAGUUGAUCCAUACCUCCAGGGAUGAUGACUCAACCACUUCACUGGAGAGCCUUUUCCAAAAAAUGAAUUAAGUAAUGGAGAAGGCUUAACACACAGCC